UAUAUUUGGUUGCAGGCCUGAAUGAACAGAGCCAUACUAAUACAUUCAUAGACAUUCGUAAAGGGGGUGCGUCAAAAAAGACGUAAGCACUCGAGUCCCUGUGAAAGGACUCUCAGCCUACAGAAUGUGCACAGUGAAGGGGUUUAGAGAUGAAAUGAGCGUGCACAUUGCCUCCGAGGAGACCAGCAACAACCCGUUUUAAACUCAAUAAUGAUCCUUCCGCAGGUUCACCUACGGAAA
rnacentral:misc_RNA from 1 species